rnacentral:rRNA from 1 species
GUAGGUGGCAAGCGUUGUCCGGAAUUAUUGGGCGUAAAGCGCGCGCAGGCGGUCCUUUAAGUCUGAUGUGAAAGCCCACGGCUCAACCGUGGAGGGUCAUUGGAAACUGGGGGACUUGAGUACAGAAGAGGAAAGCGGAAUUCCAAGUGUAGCGGUGAAAUGCGUAGAGAUUUUGAGGAACACCAGUGGCGAAGGCGGCUUUCUGGUCUGUAACUGACGCUGAGGCGCGAAAGCGUGGGGAGCAAACAGGGAUUAGAUACCCUGGUAGUCCACGCCGUAAACGAUGAGUGCUAAGUGUUAGGGGGUUUCCCGCCCCUUAGUGCUGCAGCUAACGCAUUAAGCACUCCGCCUGGGGAGUACGGCCGCAAGGCUG